rnacentral:tRNA from 1 species
UCCCAGCUCAGUUAGUAAAGAAUCUGCCUGCAAUGCAGGAGAUCCUGGUUCGAUUCCUGGGUUGGGAA